UUGUCCUGGCCUGUGCAUUCCUACUCCCCUGUGCUCAGCUCUCACAGAGGGGUCUGUGGCAGGACAUAUAGCAAUCUACCUCUCAGUUUAGGAGUGCUAUCCUAAGAAUAAGGCUGGCUCUUAAAGGCACGAGAGGAUAAU
rnacentral:snoRNA from 1 species